rnacentral:misc_RNA from 1 species
UACUGGAAAAUAAGCCGGAGAGACUAUCAACAGUUUGCAUUUUGAGAAAUAUGCUUUGGUUAAUUGUUAGGUUUACGUUUUAUGGUGUUAUAUUUGUGAUACAGUUGACUUGCUCUAUAACUUGUGAACUUUUCCGCUUGACAUCACUAUGGGUGGUUCUAGGAUUAUUAACUAUAUCAGAUGGCAUAAAUACUGCUGUCAGCAGUACAUCACAAGAAGAAGAGAAAUCUGACAAAUCCAGCAGCAAUAAACCCAAGCAACAGUUUAAAGGUGGCAAAGUUCGACAGAGGCCUAAAAAACUUAACGAAGAUCCCACAUUUAGUACAAGUUUAUCAACCCCCAUUGAAGAUAUAAUAGAGGAAACAAUCAAUGAAGAAGCAGUAGCAGUUAAUAAGAAAAAAGGAAAAUCAUCCAAAAAGCAAACUGAAGAAUUGCCAGUGAAAAAGGAAAAACCCACAAAAGAUCUAGAUGAUGACAUAGGUUAUUCAUUUUUCAAAGUUAAAACUGUUUCCAAAGGAAAUCCAGAAGCCAAGCCUAAGAAACAAGUUUCUGUUGACCUAAAUGAAGAUAACACAGCAGAUGAUAUAGGUUUCUCAUUUUUACCUGUCAAAGAAAAAGGCAAAAAAUAUAAAUCUAAGAGUAAUCCAGAAAAUAAAGACCAAGAACUGACUUUAAACGCAGUGGUAGAUCAGACACUGAGGAAAGCUAAAUAUGAUACAUCAAAGCCGUCAAUAAUAGAACAUUACAAAAAGAGAACAACUGACAAAGCUUUUUCCAAAAAGGCUGCAACAAAAUUUGAAAGUCCUUCAGUAUCUACAAUCGUAGAAAAGAGAUUGUUGUAUGAAAGCAAACUUAAAAGUGAAACUAAGGAGAGCAAAAAAGUUACAUCUUCUAUUUCCUUUGCUAGCAUAGUCAGUAAUGCUACUGACGCCCCUUCAGGUUCUGAUAUUGAACAAAAUUCCCAGUUACUAAAUGGACCUAAGCCUGAUAUUCAACAGCAUAUCUUUGAGUCUUUAGAGUCAGUAAAAUCUAGUGCUGAGUCCGUAGAAGUAAUUGAUGAUAGCAAUUCUGAAUAUCAAAACAGUCAAUCCACCAAUUUUGAGACAAUCAAAGAAAAAUUAAAUACUUUACUCGAUGAGGAUUCUGAUUUUAAUCAAACUCAAAUAGAGCAAUCAAAUGUAUAUGAAAUAGAUCAAUCUUCAAAGCAUUCUUCUGUAUAUAUUGUAGGAAGUAACGAGGUAUUGGAAGAAUCAUCCUCCACACAAGAUUCUUAUAUUGGUCAUACAGGUUUUGAACAAGAACCUGAACAAACAUUCAGUCAGAAAACUCUAGAAGCUUCUAUAGACAACAGAUUUAUAACAGAUGCCAGUAUAUUAGAAAAAAGUACAUCCACUGAAGCUUUUCUUAGUUUUGAAAGACAUAUCGAAUCACAAGAUCUAACACACAGUCUUGAAUCCAGUAAUUAUUAUCAAAAUAAUUAUUCACAGUUAAAUUUUGACAAUCAACUUCAAAACUCUUCAGAAAGCCAUAUUUCUGAUUACAGCUAUUCCCAAAAUCAACAGUCCCUAAGCUCAAGCGACUUUUCUAGAGACUACAAUUCUACAGACCAUUCCUUUACAGAACUAGUUGACAAUUGUGCUAUUGCAGAAACCUAUCAAACAGAUACUAAUUAUUUUCAGUCCAAUAGUGAACUGUCCCAGCAAUUUGAAAGAGUUGUUAGUAAUCAGUUUAUCUCUACAGAAAGUUUUCAUUCAACUUCACAAUCAUCAUUUCAAGAGUUGGUGUAUGAAAAUCAGAAUUUGGUGACUGAAAAUAAUUUGGAGAGCAGUGAAUAUAUCGAAAAUUCAACCAAAGAAUCCAUACCAGAACCAGAGGAACAAACCUCUCCCCAGUUUAUCGAGGCUCCAUGCAGACAAGAACCCGGUGUUGAACAGAAAAUUUCUUGUACGGAAAAUCCGACUUAUUCCAGUACUAGUGACUCUGAGGCUACCAGUGAAAAUACGUCACCAUACAAAGUUCAUCAAACAGAAUCUUCUUCUGUAGGAUUCAAAAAAGUUGUUUCAGAAGAAAAACAAGAAACUACUUAUUCACGCCGCAGCCAAGAAGAUUCUAAAGAAAACCGUACAUUCUUGGUAAAUGAACAAAAUCAAGUUGUAGAUGAAUAUUCGUUAAAAUCUGAAGAACAAGAUCGACAAGAAGCUCAAAUAGACGAUUAUUCAAAUCAACAAGAAAUUAAAGAAGAAAACCAAGUAGAAGAACAGUCUUUAACGUCUGAAGAAGAAGAUUAUCAAGAGAGUAAAGAAUACGAAUUUGUUAAUGUUCCAACAGAAUCAGAAGAACAGGAAGAAUUAGCAGAAGAAAAUAGACAUAGUCUGUCUUCCAAUCAUCUCAAAAAAGAAACUAAAGUUGAAGAAGAGUUUGCUUAUUCAUCUGCCAAGGAAGAUAGCCAAGUUAUAGAAACAGAAGUUGUUGAAAACGGAACUGACUUUACUACAACCGAACAGUUUGCGCAAAUAACUACAACUAAAGUUGAAGAAGAGGUUUAUGCAUCUGAUAAGGACCAAAGGCAAAUUAUAGAAGAAGAAAGUGUUCAAAACGAAGAUAAUUUAAUUAAAACUAAGCAGUUUAAUCAAGCAACUACAAGCGAAGAACAUCAUCGAGUUACAGAAAAGGAAACAUUAAUUGAGCAGCAGAAUUACUUUUUAGAGGAAGAACGAAAGUUACCGUCUGUGCAAAACCAACUUGAAGAGUAUAGUGAAUACGAAGAGGACAUAGGAAUAGAAUACAACAAUAUCAUGUCGGAAAAAGCUCAACAGGUCCGAGUUUUAACUCUAAACGAUCACGAACACCAGGAAUGUACUCUCUACAGAAUAGAGAAGAACUGGGUGAUACAGUUCCGUGUCGGACCAUCUCUAUUCGGCAGAAAGGUUUACUUAUAUUGUAAUUAUCCUUCUAAAACCAAUAACCAACUUAACGAAUUUAGACGAAACAAAUAUCAACAGUUGCAAUGGUGUGCUGAUGAAGGUUGCGAGAAUGCCGACGAUACCGGGUUUUACUCACAGAUAAAGGCGGAGCUAGCUGGUAGUUUCCAUUAUUUCUUCACUUAUGAGAAAGGUGAAAACUUAGAAAGACAAGGAUCUGGCUAUUUUCUUGUAGAUCCUGUCCUCAAAUACGGCAAUAACGAAGAUCUGCCCCUGGAUUGCAUCCAAUGCCAAACCGUUCUAGCGAAGUGUUUGGGAUCUUUCUCCACUUGGGAGAACAAACUGCAAGUAGCUAAAGAAUCUGGUUACAAUAUGAUUCAUUUUACUCCUAUUCAGGAAUUGGGCGAGUCUAACUCGUCGUAUAGUUUGAGUGAACAGUUGAAAUUAAAUCCAGUCUUCAAGAAGAGUGAUGGAAAGAUGCCGACGUUCGAAGAAGUGGAACAGUUUACCGCGAAGCUUAGAAAAGAUUGGAAGGUAACUUCUAUUUGCGAUAUUGUUCUAAACCACACUGCAAACGAGAGCAAAUGGAUUCAAGAACAUCCCGAAGUAACGUAUAACUGUGUUAACUGCCCCUAUAUGCGUCCCGCAUACUUACUAGAUGCUGCUUUUGAUUUCUUUUCCUCCGAAGUUAAAAGAGGAGUGUACGAGGACAGAGGUAUACCACCAGAUGUUACCAGCGAAGACCAUCUCAAUGCUAUUCGCUAUCACUUCCGCGCCAGCAUUUUGGAUGAACUGAAAAUUCACGAGCUGUUUACUUGUGAUACCAAAAAGCUCAUAGCAAAUUUCUUAUCUUUAGCCCGUUCAGGUCAGCCGAAUCCUCCAAAAUCUCCAGAUUCCAAGCCCGAAACUGAGGAACUGAAGCUCAUCCAAGAUCCCGAAUACAGACGUUUAGAAACUUCCGUGGACAUGAAACUAGCUCUUAAAUUAUACAACAUUUACUGGAGCGACACAUUUGACGAAGAUUCCAGGCUUAAAAAGUGCGCUGAGCAGUUGAAGAACAAACUAGACGAACUGAACAACCGGGUCAUCGACGAAGUCAACGAUCAUUUAAGUGCUGCGAUUGAAAACGUUAUCGCCGGGAUUAGAUACUACAGAAUUCAACACGACGGGCCUAAAUUCAAAGACAUUACGAUUAAAACUCCUUUGGUGUAUCGCUACUUCACCGAUUAUGGAAGUCCGAAGACAUUGAAAGAAUUCGAAGACAUAAUGUACAGCGAUAAGGGCAGGUUUUUGAUGGCGCACAAUGGAUGGGUGAUGGAGUCUGAUCCUUUAAGAAACUUUGCUGCUCCAGACACAAAGGUAUAUAUUAGGCGUGAAUUGAUUGCUUGGGGUGACAGCGUCAAAUUAAGGUUCGGCGAUAAACCCGAAGAUUGUCCUUUCUUGUGGGAUCACAUGAAGAAGUAUGUGGAAGAAACCGCCAGGAUAUUUGAUGGUGUCCGCUUGGAUAAUUGUCACUCAACUCCAAUCCCCGUUGCCGAAUAUUUGUUGGACUGUGCCAGAAGAGUCAGACCCGAUCUUUACGUAGUAGCUGAAUUAUUUACCAAUUCCGAUAUGACUGACAAUAUCUUCGUGAAUAGAUUGGGAAUAACGUCUCUCAUCCGUGAAGCAAUGUCAGCGUGGGAUUCCCACGAAGAGGGCCGUUUAGUUUACCGCUACGGUGGCUCCCCCGUGGGAUCUUUUUAUCAACCUAACGUGCGUCCUCUUGUACCGUCAGUAGCACAUGCUUUGUUCCUCGACCAAACUCAUGACAAUCCUAGUCCAGUUGAGAAACGAUCAGUAUUCGAUCUGCUGCCCAGUACUGCAUUAAUCAACAUGGCUUGCUGUGCUAGUGGAUCAAACAGAGGCUACGACGAGUUGGUUCCUCAUCAUAUUCACGUAGUUGAUGAAGAUAGGGAGUAUACAGAAUGGACUGCCACUGAUAAUUUGUCUGUGGGCAACUUGCGUUAUGUUACUCAUAAGUGUGGUAUCCUCAAAGCCAAGAAAGCAAUAAACGAUUUACAUUUUCUUCUUGGAAAACAAGGAUUUAACCAGGUAUAUGUGGACCAGAUGGAUGCUGAUAUAGUAGCUGUGACUAGACACUGUCCCGUUACCCAUCAAAGCUAUAUUUUGGUAGCUUUUACAGCAUUUGGACAUCCAAAUGAGGAUGCAGGAGAGCACCAGAGAGGAAUAAAACCUUUAAGAUUCGAGGGAAAUCUAGACGAAAUCGUCUUGGAGGCUACUUUGAGUCACGUAAAGCACAAAUCCGGUGGUUCUAAAUAUACCAAAUGGCAUCCAUUUAUCAAGGAUUGCAAAUGGAUCAACGGUCUUCCUGACUACCAAGUAUGUGUGAAAGAGCACAUUCAAGUUCCGGACUCCGAUAUAUUUGAAAAAGUCGACUCGGGAACGAAGAACGUCACUCAACUGAACUUCAAAAACUUCAAACCAGGCUCUGUAGUUGUUAUUAAAUCUUCACUGCCAGAACCAAUGCGUGCUGCUAUAAAGACCGUCAGGACCUUAAUCAGUUCUAUUUCACUGGCUAAACCCACCGAACUAGCCACCAUAGUUAACAAAAUGACGUUAGCUGAUAUGAAUAGAGCCUUGUACAGAUGCGGCCAAGAAGAACGCGACGAAGGAUUUGGUUUCGAUACAUACAACAUUCCCAGCUUUGGUUCGAUGGUGUAUGCCGGAUUACAAGGUUUCAUGUCGUUACUUGCAAAUAUAAGACCGAAUAAUGACCUUGGUCAUCCGAUGUGUGCUAAUCUGAGAGAUGGUAACUGGAUGAUAGAAUUUAUUUGGAAAAGGCUCAAACUGGACCCUGGCACCAAAGAACUAGGGGAUUGGAUCGAACGCAAUACCAAGAGUUUUGAAAACAUUCCAAGAUACUUGGUACCUUGUUAUUUCGACAUCGUUGUCACGGGUCUUUAUCUGGUUCUCCUUGAAAAAACCCAUAAACUAAUGUCCAAUUUCGUCAAAAAUGGCUCAACGUUCGUGAGAGGCCUGGCUCUAGGAUCGGUACAAUUCGGUGCUUAUAUUAAGUCCGCCGAUUUGCCGACAUUAUCACCGAAUUUAGCACCUCCGAAACCGCCAUCUAGAAAAAUUGACAACGACACUGUUCAAGCUUGUGUGACCUUAUCAGCAGGUUUGCCACAUUUCUCAGUCGGUUACAUGAGAAAUUGGGGAAGAGACACAUUCAUCGCCUUGAGAGGACUCUUUAUUUUAACGGGGCGUUAUCAAGAAGCUAGGGAACACAUUCUAGGUUACGCUGCUUGUAUGAGACACGGUCUAAUCCCCAAUUUGUUAGAUGGUGGACGAAACUCAAGAUUCAAUUGCAGAGACGCCAUCUGGUGGUGGUUAUACUGUAUUAAAGAAUACGUCAACGAAGCUCCCGAAGGAAUCAAAAUUCUUUCAGACAAGGUUUCCAGGAUAUUCCCCACGGACGACGCCACGAAUCAACCUCCAGGAGCCGUAGAUCAACCUUUAUAUGACGUUAUUCAAGAAGGACUCAAAAUACAUUUCCAAGGACUCGCUUUCAGAGAAAGAAAUGCGGGAAGACAAAUCGACGAGCACAUGGUAGAUGCAGGUUUUAAUAAUCAGAUUGGAGUUCAUCCAGAAACAGGUUUCGUCUUUGGCGGUAAUAAAUGGAACUGCGGCACCUGGAUGGACAAAAUGGGAUCAUCCGACAAAGCCGGAAACCGCGGAAAACCAGCCACUCCAAGAGAUGGCUCCGCGGUUGAACUUAUCGGACUGUCAAAAUCGGUCAUCUCCUGGUUAGCCAAAUUGAGCGAAGACAACAAAUACCCUUACAAGGGAGUAGAAAGGGUGUCCAAGAGCGGCACAAAGACCAACUGGACGUUUAAGGAAUGGGCUCUAAAGAUACAGAACAAUUUUGAAAAACACUUCUGGGUUAAUUCCAAACCGACAGAUGGAGAAAUUCGACCCGAUUUAGUAAACAAGAGAGGCAUUUACAAGGACUCUCAUGGCUCAAGCUUAGAGUAUACCGAUUUCCAAUUGAGAUGCAACUUCCCUGUCGCCAUGGUUGCGGCACCAGAACUGUUCACUCCAAGCCGUGCUUGGGAAGCUCUGAUACAAGCAGAGAAAUAUCUAUUAGGUCCUUUAGGAAUGAAAACACUCGAUCCUGAAGAUUGGGCAUACAAAGGUGACUAUGACAAUUCCAAUCAAUCAGAAGAUCCUUCAGUUUCACAUGGAUUUAACUAUCAUCAAGGCCCCGAAUGGGUAUGGCCUAUUGGGUUCUUCCUUCGAGCCAAACUCAUUUUUGCCGCACAAAAUGGAGCGUUGAGAGAAACAGUCGCUAGUACGAAACUGAUCCUUUCGAAACACUUCGUCGAAUUACAGACUUCUGAUUGGCGAGGUCUGCCGGAAUUGACGAAUAAAGAUGGUGCCUAUUGCAACGAUAGUUCAAGGACUCAAGCGUGGAGCAUGUCUUGCGUUCUUGAGGUCCUUCAUGAUUUAAAGAAAAUUGAGUCCAGUAUAGACCUACUAGGCAACUGACUUACCAGUACCUUAGACACUAAGACAAAUAAUAGCGUUACACAAAAACAUACAUACAACAAAACCAUACGAAGCGAAUUAGUUGAGAACAAAAAACUUUUGUCGCCGAAAUUUUGUAGAAUAUUGAGACGGCAAAAGAUUUACACCGAAAUCGAAGAAAUCAAAAUAAUGAACCACUCAGACGAUCAAAAUUCUUCCAGUGAAAUAUUAAGUUCUUCCAUUUUUAGUGAUACGUUUCUGCCAUACAGCGACCUCUAUUUUAAGCAUAAUCAAACAUUGCCUAACGCGGUUGUAAGUUUAAAUAAGUUUAUACAGAGUGAUAAUUUAUUAUUAAGCAACGAUUCUCUCAUUUGUUCGUCUAAUUUUGUGCCUUUUUACCAAGAGGUUCCCAAAUAUUGCAUAGGAAUAUUAGACAGCAAACACGGACAUUUGUCAUAUAAGGAAUUAAAAUGUUCUUAUGAUCCUAGUAGUUACGAUGCAUACGUUCCUAUAUUUUUAUCUCUACCUACCAAUAAUCACUUCAAAUCUUUUACAAAUAAUUACAUAUCUCGCCGUACAAUGGGUCUGUCGAAGAAACGAAGACCGACAGUGCAGAACUUGGAUGAAAUCAUCCCGAUGAUGGACGAAAUGUACCGAAACAUCGAACACAGUCCGCGCCAGCACGAACCGGAGCCGUAUUUGGAACGGAACGUUCUGUUACUGGACCCGUUAUUGCUCGAUUUGAACGAGCGAAGAACCAAGCUGCAGAUCAGUCGUUCGGAACACAAGAAGAUUGCACGCAUCACUAUAAUGUACGUUUUAGCUUUCUUUGCACUUGCACUGGUGACGUUCUUUAGUUUGUAUUUACUCUAAGAUCUGAUAAUAAGAGACUGCUUACGUGCCAUUAGUUGUUAAAGAUAUUUAUUUUUAUGUUAAAUUUGUUUUUAAGUGCUGUUAAAUUUUAUGUACACUGUUUACUUUUAUGGAUGUAUUGUUAAAUUAUAUUUAAAUUAUACAUUACUGAAGUCAA